rnacentral:tRNA from 2 species
GCCCAGGUGGUGGAAUGGUAGACACGACAGACUUAAAAUCUGUUGCCCGUAAGGGCGUGUGGGUUCGAGUCCCUCUCUGGGCA